rnacentral:sRNA from 1 species
GAAGUCAUGGCGGCGCUGUGUGGGACCCGUGCUGUGGCUGCCGAGAGCCAUUUUCUGCGAGUGUUUCUCUUCUCCAGGCCCUUUCGGGGCGUAGGCACUGAGAGUGGAUCCGAAAGUGGUAGUUCCAAUGCCAAGGAGCCUAAGACGCGCGUAGGCGGUUUCGCGAGCGCGUUGGAGCGGCACUCGGAGCUUCUGCAGAAGAUGGGACCUGCAAAGGAUAAACUGGUCAUUGGACGGAUCUUUCAUAUUGUGGGGGAUGAUCUUUACAUAGAUUUUGGUGGAAAGUUUCAUUGUGUAUGUAGAAGACCAGAAGUGGAUGGAGAGAGUCCCAUUUCGUGUUACGCUGUUUGGAGGAGAUUUUCACAAGUUUUUUUUUCAGCUCUGACUUUGGAAAACAUUGUAAAAGAUAAAGAAGUUGUAAUACAACAUGGAUGAACCCUGAAAACAUUAUGCCAAAUGAAAGAAGCCAUUCAC